rnacentral:rRNA from 1 species
AGUGAACGUUGGCGGCGUGGAUUAGGCAUGCAAGUCGAGCGAGAACCGUAGCAAUACGGGGACAGUGGCGAAAGGGACAGUAAUGUGUAGGUACCUACCCCGGGGUCUGGGAUAGCUGCGGGAAACUGCAGGUAAUACCGGAUAAUGUCUUCGGACCAAAGGUGUGAUUCCACCUUGGGAGGGGCCUGCAUCCUAUUAGCUUGUUGGCGGGGUAACGGCCCACCAAGGCAACGAUGGGUAGCGGGUGUGAGAGCACGACCCGCGUCAUUGGGACUGAGAUACGGCCCAGCCACCUACGGGUGGCUGCAGUCGAGGAUCUUCGGCAAUGGGCGAAAGCCUGACCGAGCGACGCCGCGUGCGGGAUGAAGGCCUUCGGGUUGUAAACCGCUGUCGUAGAGGAGGAAAUGCAGGGGGGUUCUCCCUUCUGUUUGACCUAUUCUAGGAGGAAGGACGGGCUAAGUUCGUGCCAGCAGCCGCCGUAA